rnacentral:rRNA from 1 species
CUACGGGAUGCACCAGUGAGGAAUAUUGGACAAUGGUCGAAAGACUGAUCCAGCCAUGCCGCGUGCAGGAUGACUGCCCUAUGGGUUGUAAACUGCUUUUAUACGGGAAGAAAAACACCUACGUGUAGGUGACUGACGGUACCGUAAGAAUAAGGACCGGCUAACUCCGUGCCAGCAGCCGCGGUAAUACGGAGGGUCCAAGCGUUAUCCGGAAUCAUUGGGUUUAAAGGGUCCGUAGGCGGGCUAUUAAGUCAGAGGUGAAAGUUUGCAGCUCAACUGUAAAGUUGCCUUUGAUACUGAUAGUCUUGAAUUGUAGUGAAGUGGUUAGAAUAUGUGGUGUAGCGGUGAAAUGCAUAGAUAUCACAUAGAAUACCGAUUGCGAAGGCAGAUCACUAACUAUAUAUUGACGCUGAGGGACGAAAGCGUGGGGAGCGAACGGAUUAGAUACCCCGGUAGUC